rnacentral:rRNA from 1 species
GCCCGGGCUUCGGCCUGGUUAUUCAUAACCCUUUGUUGUCCGACUCUGUUGCCUCCGGGGCGACCCUGCCUUCGGGCGGGGGCUCCGGGUGGACACUUCAAACUCUUGCGUAACUUUGCAGUCUGAGUAAACUUAAUUAAUAAAUUAAAACUUUUAACAACGGAUCUCUUGGUUCUGGCAUCGAUGAAGAACGCAGCGAAAUGCGAUAAGUAAUGUGAAUUGCAGAAUUCAGUGAAUCAUCGAAUCUUUGAACGCACAUUGCGCCCCCUGGUAUUCCGGGGGGCAUGCCUGUUCGAGCGUCAUUUCACCACUCAAGCCUCGCUUGGUAUUGGGCAACGCGGUCCGCCGCGUGCCUCAAAUCGUCCGGCUGGGUCUUCUGUCCCCUAAGCGUUGUGGAAACUAUUCGCUAAAGGGUGUUCGGGAGGCUACGCCGUAAAACAACCCCAUUUCUAAGGUUGACCUCGGAUCAGGUAGGGAUA